ACGGAAAGACCCCGUGAACCUUUACUAUAGCUUGACACUGAACAUUGAGCCUUGAUGUGUAGGAUAGGUGGGAGGCUUGGAAGUGUGGACGCCAGUCUGCAUGGAGCCGACCUUGAAAUACCACCCUUUAAUGUUUGAUGUUCUAACGUUGACCCGUGAUCCGGGUUGCGGACAGUGUCUGGUGGGUAGUUUGACUGGGGCGGUCUCCUCCUAAAGAGUAACGGAGGAGCACGAAGGUUGGCUAAUCCUGGUCGGACAUCAGGAGGUUAGUGCAAUGGCAUAAGCCAGCUUGACUGCGAGCGUGACGGCGCGAGCAGGUGCGAAAGCAGGUCAUAGUGAUCCGGUGGUUCUGAAUGGAAGGGCCAUCGCUCAACGGAUAAAAGGUACUCCGGGGAUAACAGGCUGAUACCGCCCAAGAGUUCAUAUCGACGGCGGUGUUUGGCACCUCGAUGUCGGCUCAUCACAUCCUGGGGCUGAAGUAGGUCCCAAGGGUAUGGCUGUUCGCCAUUUAAAGUGGUACGCGAGCUGGGUUUAGAACGUCGUGAGACAGUUCGGUCCCUA
rnacentral:rRNA from 1 species